GACAGAGGUUGCAAACGUUGUUCGGAAUCACUGGGCAUAAAGCGCACGUAGGCGGUCUGUUAAGUCAGGUGUGAAAGCCCCCGGCUCAACCGGGGAAUUGCAUUUGAUACUGGCAGGCUCGAGAACGGUAGGGGUGAGUGGAACUCCAGGUGGAGCGGUGAAAUGCGUAGAUAUCUGGAGGAACACCGGUGGCGAAAGCGGCUCACUGGACCGUCACUGACGCUGAGGUGCGAAGGCUAGGGUAGCAAACGGG
rnacentral:rRNA from 1 species